UGCUUUACAAGAAUUACAAAAAGGACCCAACCCUUGGGGACAUAUGCUACAGAUCAACGAAGAACCCUUCAGGGGCCCUCGAUGUAACCUACGUCAGCAAAGGAAAAGUUGUCUAUACGGAGAAAAAGCUGCUCAGCUGUUCACCUCCCGGAAGUGACACCGGGAACCUCAUACGUUUUCCUGUUGACAAUGGCUUUGUGCAGCUACGACACCUGUAUGACCAAUGUGAUCAAUGUUUCCUGAUCCAGCCUUUGUACAUUCCUGGUAACGCAUGUUUCCUGCUGGUGAGAUACCCCCAACAAGUGCCACCGUGCUGCGAGUAUGUGUACACCUUAUUAUGCGGACCCAAGAAAUUCGUCCACUACAAGCAGAAGAAAUGCGAGAAGGUCUACGCAUCGUUGCCACCGACGCGCUGAAUGUCGAACAACCACGGUGUUCCAUGUGGACCUAUGACAUCGUUAUUUAAAUGUUACGUAGCCAGCCAAGUAUCCACCCUGGCAACACCCUAUUAUUGGUCCCUGACUGGGCAAAUAUUUGCUAGCUUGGAUGCCAAAAUUAGUCCAAUUUUGAAACUGGAACCUGCCCCAUUAUUGACCCAACAUUGGUCUGCACAAAUAGAAUUCCGCUAUUACCACUGGUUUAUAUUGAAAGCAUUUCUAGCGAUUAAGUAAGCGAUCUGCUGAACAAAAUACAUGAUAGUAAAACCGGAGUUUUGUUUUUGAGGCUUUGUGUAUGUGUG